CACCGGCAGCUCUAGUGGUAGCAGUUUUUAUUGGGCCUAAAGCGUCCGUAGCCGGUUUAAUAAGUCUCUGGUGAAAUCCUGUAGCUUAACUGUGGGAAUUGCUGGAGAUACUAUUAGACUUGAGAUCGGGAGAGGUCAGAGGUACUCCUGGGGUAGGGGUGAAAUCCUGUAAUCCUGGGAGGACCGCCUGUUGCGAAGGCGUCUAACUGGAACGGUUCUGACGGUGAGGGACGAAAGUUAGGGGCGCGAACCGGAUUAGAUACCCGGGUAGUCCUAACUGUAAACGAUGCGGACUUGGUGUUGGGGUGGCUUUGAGCUGCUCCAGUGCCGAAGGGAAGCUGUUAAGUCCGCCGCCUGGGAAGUACGGUCGCAAGACUGAAACUUAA
rnacentral:rRNA from 1 species